GACAGUUGAGUGGAAGCAUAUGCAAUGGAAAACUGCUAUUGUAUGAUGAUAAUGGUCCUCUACCUCCUCACUGUGUGCAGGAUCAUAAUUAUUAUGAUAAUAGUAAUGGUGAAGCUGGGCCUGACAGAGGAUUGAAAUAUAAGUUUUACAAUUUACAAGUAAAGUUAAAUUUAUUUCUAGGGUGGAUUACUGGUCAGACCUUUCUUUUGUUGUUCAAAAAAAAUGUCUUUAUUAUUGUGAUUGCCCUGUUGAUAGCAAAUAGCCUCAACAGUCUUUUGAAUUACAUUUCAGUUCACAAAAAGAGGAAUUUGAACACUAGAGAAUCAGAACUGGAAGAGAAUCAUUUGAAUUCUAAAGAAGUGACCAAUCCACCUGAUCAGCUGCUUGAGUUGGAAGCAGAGAACAUUGCUGUUGAACAAAAUUACAUGUAACAUUUAUUUUGCUGCGCUACCUUGCUGACUUGCUGCUACAAUAAUUUGCUAUUUUUGCUGUGUGAUUUAAAAAAAUACCAUUUAGUCAAACUUA